rnacentral:misc_RNA from 1 species
UCCGGUUUAUCACCGGCAGUCUCCUUAGAGUUCCCACCAUUAUGUGCUGGCAACUAAGGAUAGGGGUUGCGCUCGUUACGGGACUUAACCCAACAUCUCACGACACGAGCUGACGACAGCCAUGCAGCACCUGUCACUUGGUUCCCGAAGGCACUCCUCUAUCUCUAGAGGAUUCCAAGGAUGUCAAGAGUAGGUAAGGUUCUUCGCGUUGCAUCGAAUUAAACCACAUGCUCCACCGCUUGUGCGGGCCCCCGUCAAUUCAUUUGAGUUUUAACCUUGCGGCCGUACUCCCCAGGCGGAGAACUUAACGCGUUAGCUUCGAUACUAAGAAGUUAAACUUCCCAACAUCUAGUUCUCAUCGUUGAAGGCGUGGACUAC